GGAGAGAUGUCCGAGCUGGCUGAAGGAGCAUGAUUGGAAAUCAUGUAUACGGUGAACACCGUAUCAGGGGUUCGAAUCCCCUUCUCUCCGCCA
rnacentral:tRNA from 1 species